CAGUAGCCGCGGUAAUACGAAGGGGGCUAGCGUUGUUCGGAUUUACUGGGCGUAAAGGGCGCGUAGGCGGACUGAUAAGUCAGGGGUGAAAUCCCAAGGCUCAACCUUGGAACUGCCUUUGAUACUGUUUGUCUUGAGUUCGAGAGAGGUAAGUGGAACUACGAGUGUAGAGGUGAAAUUCGUAGAUAUUCGCAGGAACACCAGUGGCGAAGGCGGCUUACUGGCUCGAAACUGACGCUGAGGCGCGAAAGCGUGGGGAGCAAACAGGAUUAGAUAUCCCGGUAGUCCCUGUCUCUUAUAC
rnacentral:rRNA from 1 species